GACGAACGCUGGCGGCGUGCUUAACACAUGCAAGUCGAACGGAAAGGCCCUGCUUUUGUGGGGUGCUCGAGUGGCGAACGGGUGAGUAACACGUGAGUAACCUGCCCUUGACUUUGGGAUAACUUCAGGAAACUGAGGCUAAUACCGGAUAGGAGCUCCUGCUGCAUGGUGGGGGUUGGAAAGUUUCGGCGGUUGGGGAUGGACUCGCGGCUUAUCAGCUUGUUGGUGGGGUAGUGGCUUACCAAGGCUUUGACGGGUAGCCGGCCUGAGAGGGUGACCGGCCACAUUGGGACUGAGAUACGGCCCAGACUCCUACGGGAGGCAGCAGUGGGGAAUAUUGCACAAUGGGCGGAAGCCUGAUGCAGCAACGCCGCGUGCGGGAUGACGGCCUUCGGGUUGUAAACCGCUUUCGCCUGUGACGAAGCGUGAGCGACGGUAAUGGGUAAAGAAGCACCGGCUAACUACGUG
rnacentral:rRNA from 1 species